CUUCUUCACACAAAAAAAACAAAAUAGAAAAUGUUGAAAAACUGCGGCAGUAUGAUUCAAAUUUGUGGGUGUCCCAUAGGGCGACGUGUGGGCGUGACCGGGCGACUUACACGGAAAUUGUGCCAAGCCCUUAAAUGAGCUCUAUUGUCUGGGAAAUACAUCACCCAUAUAUAAAUUUGUUUUUGCUUUUGCUUAACUUAAUUUUUGAUCAAUUUUAAUCCGAAGCUGAUGAAAA